rnacentral:rRNA from 1 species
UACGUAGGGUGCAAGCGUUGCCCGGAAUCAUUGGGCGUAAAGAGCGUGUAGGCGGCUCGAUCAGUCCGCUGUGAAAGUCCAGGGCUCAACCCUGGAAAGCCGGUGGAUACUGUCGGGCUAGAGUACGGAAGAGGCGAGUGGAAUUCCUGGUGUAGCGGUGAAAUGCGCAGAUAUCAGGAGGAACACCAAUGGCGAAGGCAGCUCGCUGGGACGAUACUGACGCUGAGACGCGAAAGCGUGGGGAGCAAACAGG